rnacentral:rRNA from 1 species
UACGAAGGGGGCUAGCGUUGCUCGGAAUCACUGGGCGUAAAGGGUGCGUAGGCGGGGUUCUAAGUGAGAGGUGAAAGCCUGGAGCUCAACUCCAGAACUGCCUUUGAUACUGGAAGUCUUGAGUUCGGGAGAGGUGAGUGGAACUGCGAGUGUAGAGGUGAAAUUCGUAGAUAUUCGCAAGAACACCAGUGGCGAAGGCGGCUCACUGGCCCGAUACUGACGCUGAGUCACGAAAGCGUGGGGAGCAAACAGG